ensembl:lncRNA
CAGCUGCACCUCUGCCCUGGGUGCUGGAAUUACAGCUUUGUUCGUUUUUCUUUUUGUCACUCGACACAUGUGCCGUGCGACACUACCAGCCCAGCUGGUCCUGCAAGACUCAAACUGACUAGCGGCACUGGCAUGCUAACACGCGUUUGCUGAGUGUUUGGUCGCUAUGGCAACAAGUUCAGAUGGAUAAGGUGAAGGAAAACGCAUGAAGGGAUUUCGUCAGCAGUUUCACCUUUUCGCAAGAACCCAGCUCUGCCUCUUCGCUGUCCCGCUUCCAGACUGCUGAAACUUCAGCGUGCAGGAGCGUGUUGGAGAAAGGAGGCGUGGCCUGUUAGCCCACGUGCCAUAUCUUGGAAUAUGAUUGGUCAACCCGGCGCACGCCUACAGAAUAACCCCGCCUCUUU